GACGGCGCUAGUUAGUCCUUUACGUAUACUGUUAUCUACGAAUCUAUUUAUUUCUUAAUAUGUUUCAUAGUAGAUUACGUUAUGUUAUUUUACGAUAAUCAGUACACAUUUUAAAAACAAUAGUAUUCUCUUUGAUUUAUCACAAGUUUUUAUAAAUUCUACACCGACAUAUUUGUGUCCUUGAAACGAACGAUAGAAUCUCGUAAUAUACCUUAGGAAUAUAAUUUAACGAUGAAGGAUAGAAAUGAUCUUGUUGCACGCGACGAGUGACCUUUAACAAUCGACCCGAUCUAUAUCGUUCUUCCUCGUGUAUAUAUAUAUAUUUUUUUUUCUCAAGCGAUACUUCAUGUUUUUAAAUCAUGCAAGUUUUUACCUCUUUGCCUUUGAAUACGAUCUUUUUAUAAAAGUUAAAAAAACGUUAGUCAUUUCAACAAUAUUGCUAUCAGUCAAAUAAACAUAUGACCGACCUAUUUAUGUCAAACUUUGAUCAGUUAUUUUAUCGUUUUCAUGUAUGCAAUUUGUACAUGUAUACAUGCGUACCUAUGUAUAGGUGUGUUAUAUCUCAUACGAGUACUGCAACGACGUGAAAGAGACUCGAUGAAAGAGGCUCGGCUGGAGGCUCGACCAAUCGUAUCGUCGAAAGUUAAAAAUAGACAAUUCGUAGUUAUAUCGUGCUAACAGAAGUUUCGUCGAGUAUUUAACACGAUAUAUGUAAUCAACGUUUUUCGAUAGUUUAAAAAAAAAAUAGUACAAAAAAUAGACGUACAUAUCUACGCGCAUAUUUUAACAGAUGUAUAGAAAAAUUCAUUUUUAACUAAUUUGUGAAUUGUAAUUGAAUCAAUUCGAACGUAGUCUAUACUAAUUUUAAAACAAAAACUAAUUUUAGAUUUCGUCUAUCUUUUCUAUGUAAACAUGUACACGUGUUAUCUCAAAUACACAUCUCACGUGUCUCACAUGAAUGUCUUUGAUGUUAAGUUCGAAUGACUGAUAUUGAUAUCGUACCACUAUAAAUGUAAAUGUAAAAUUGAAAUAUAUAUCAGUUCGAAAUUUUAAAUGCAUAUAAUCAAAAUCCUAGAGAAAUUGUAUAUUAUUUGACGGUAGAGACCGAAUAUUUUCUUAGAAAUUGUUGUAGAAGAGAUCCAUUAACGGGUUUAAUCUCACCUGAAUAAAAGUAUAAAUCUCGUGUCAACUUGAUCUCUCUCGUUCGGUCUGGACUCAUUCGUUUCCCAUGAUUCGAAUGUAACUGAAGAUCAUAGACGUGAUGGAUCGCGAUCGUUAAAUAUUUUUUGUUAACAUACUUGCUCCUCGUAUACAGUUAGAAGAGAUCGCCUAUCGUAGAAGAUCGAUUUUCUCUUAUAUAAAACAUAGAAGUUGCGGCCAUUAUCUCGCGAGCUUCAUACUUUUCUGAUUCAAGGUUAGUUAUACAAGCGGUAACCAGCAAUUUAAAAUUCGAUAAAAAUGACGGUGAGAAUCCGUGAAAGAAUUCUGCAAGAAAAUUGAUCCUAAGAUGAUCGUGUGAAAGAGAGAAUCUUGUUGGCUAUGUAAUCUAAGAGAGUAAUAGAGAGAUAGAAAGAGAGAGAGAGAGAGAGAGAGAGAGAGAGAGAGAGAGAAAUAGUGAGAGGAGAGAGAAGGAGGUGUGGGAGAAGGGAAAAGAAGACGAGAAAGAAACGUGAAUUCUACGAAUAGAAAGCGUGCCGAUCGAAAAUUACAUCUAAGAGAAUUCUGAACGGAGAAAAGCACGCUUUUGCGAGUACACUCAAGACGGCAAAAGAUACGAAUUAUUGGCCUCGAAGCCUUUCCAUAAACCAUACGGAGAAAGAGAACGUUAGUUGAAUGUGUAUGUAACGAAAUGUUUGUGUAUGUGGUAGGAGAGACAUACGAAUUCACGCAAUAUGCGUAUAUACGUAUCGUUGGUCGAUUCUGAAUUUAUACUUUCUUGGAAUGGAACGUAAAAUUGUUUAAAAUUUUAAUAGAGAUAUAAUAGCUACGGUUUCUAAAAAGUUGACUUUAAUUGCAAGUUUUACAAAUUAGAAGAAAAGAUUUACUCUUUCGAAUAAAAUGUAAUUACUCAAAAAAAAUUUUACAGAUCUUAACAAAUUAAAUAAUUAAAUUCAAUUUUCUAAGGAAAAAGAAAAGUAAUUUCGAUUUCUAUCGAACGGUUAUUACCAGGACUUUCCCGCGUAAAUUACGAGACGAAAGUUAACUAGUCGAGCCCCUGUGAACGGCGCCUUCUGAUUGGUCAUUGCGUACGGUUAAAACGUAAUCUAAGAACCAGUUCUUGUUGCGUCAGUCGGUAUUAUAACGAAUUUUUACAUACACAUAUAUCUAACGAGAAGCAUAUAAGAUGACUAAUUUGAUACUACUCAAUCCCAUUAUAUGAUCAUUAAAUAGCAAUUUGAUAUUAAAAUAUUUAUUAUAUUUAAUCCCGUAUCGAAAUUAUUAAAGUUUUUUCUUUCUUUUUUCUUUACAUAAAUUUUAUCUCAUAACUUUCGUCUCUUUAAGAAUGUAUGUGUUUCAUUUAAAGAAUUUACUUCUUAUAGUAUAUAUUCCUUAUCUUCUUAGUAUAUAUUUCUUCUCAACAAUAAACUUAUUAUCAAGUUAUCAGAUGCACGUGUCAUUCCUCGUGCCUUUCAUUCCAGCAACGAUUCGCGAUUUACGUCAUUUCGGCAUAUGAACGUCAAGAAAUGAUAAUAGUAAAUAAUGAAGAGCCAAUAAAUAGAGUAAAGCGAGAGCACAUUCAAUUCUCUACUAAAGAUAGAGCAGAGGGCAGAAAGACAUUCUUUAAAAGAAAGGAUGACAGGAUGACCGAACUUGCUAUAUAAAAGCAAUACCUACUGCUUUCGUCUCGGAAUGCGUUUAUAUUUAGUGAGUCAACGUGCUGGAAACGAAAGGAACGAAAGAGCAUUGUCGGAUUCAACCAAUGUAUUUUCAGCUGUCUAUAUUGUUCUAACAGGAUAUUCAACACAAUACAUCUGGUUUGAUAUUUUUUUCUUUGUUAAACGAAAGAAAAUUAAAAUCGAAAUGAAUAUUCGAAUGAAUUUUUGUUUUUUACUGAAAGGAAAAGCAUUUUUUCAAAUAGAAUUUAAGGUGAUAACAGAACGAAUUUCGGAGUACAUUAAACAGAGUCUAAAGUCUUCUUAUUGACUGAAUCAUAAAAAAAAGAAUGGAAAGAAUGUAUGUGGGCUUAAAAUCGACGUCAACGUUUCGAAGUUCACAAAUGUAAAUGAUUCUGAUUGUUUUACUAUAUCUAAGGAAAAGAGUGGGAGUGCAAAUGAAAAGACUAUCUAUCAUUGAAUCACUUUCUAUCUUUGGGAGAUCUUUAACAAGGAAUUAUUUCGUAGAUAAGAGAAAACAAGAAAGAGAGAGUGGAAAACGUACUUUAUUCACUGUUUAUCAUUUUUUAUGCUGACAUGAAAUAUUUAUAUAUAAAUCGUUCAUUUGUCAAAGUGAUUAACUACGCAAAACAAAAAAUAAAGAAAAUUAAUAAAAUUAUAAAUGUA